UAACGGCCGCGGUAUUUUGACCGUGCAAAGGUAGCGCAAUCACUUGUCUUUUAAAUGGAGACCUGUAUGAAUGGCCUAACGAGGGCUUAACUGUCUCCCCCUUCCAGUCAGUGAAAUUGAUCUAUCCGUGCAGAAGCGGGUAUAAAUAUACAAGACGAGAAGACCCUUUGGAGCUUAAGGUACAAAGUUUAACCAUGUUAAACAACUUAUUAAAGAGCAAAAACUUAAUGGAAAAUAAGCAUUUACCUUCGGUUGGGGCGACCGCGGAGGAAAAAUCAGCCUCCGAGUGGAGCGGGGUAAAUCCCUAAAACCAAGAGACACAUCUCUAAGCCGCAGAAAAUUUGACCAAGAAUGAUCCGACACAUAGUCGAUCAACGAACCAAGUUACCCUAGGGAUAACAGCGCAAUCCUCUCCCAGAGUCCAUAUCGACGAGGGGGUUUACGACCUCGAUGUUGGAUCAGGACAUCCUAAUGGUGCAGCCGCUAUUAAGGGUUCGUUUGUUCAACGAUUAAAGUCCUACGUGAUCUGAGUUCAGACCGGAGUAAUCCAGGUCAGUUUCUAUCUGUAAUGCUACU
rnacentral:rRNA from 1 species